rnacentral:rRNA from 1 species
UUUAAUUCGAAGCAACGCGCAAAACCUUACCAGGCCUUGACAUAGGGAUUAAGGAGAAGAGAAAUUUUUUCUGUCAGUUCGGCUGGAUCCCAUACAGGUGCUGCAUGGCUGUCGUCAGCUCGUGUCGUGAGAUGUUGGGUUAAGUCCCGCAACGAGCGCAACCCUCCUCUUCAGUUGCCAUCAGGUAAAGCUGGGAACUUUGAAGAUACUGCCGGUGAUAAACCGGAGGAAGGCGGGGAUGAAGUCAAGUCAUCAUGGCCCUUAUGGCCUGGGCUACACACGUGCUACAAUGGUGGUGACAAAGGGAAGCAAAAGGGAAACCUGGAGCAAAUCCGUAAAAAGCCACCUCAGUUCAGAUUGUUCUCUGCAACUCGGGAACAUGAAGUUGGAAUCGCUAGUAAUCGCGGAUCAGCAUGCCG